UUUCUCUCUUAGUUUUCUCUCUUCUCCCAUUUGAGAAUUCUUAAGGAAUUCUAUUUGUUUGUAAUAUUUUGGAUAUAGUAAAGUUAUCAUCUGGUGUUAGUGCCCGAGGACGUAGGUAUAAUUUACCGAACCUCGUUAAAACUCUUAUGUUCUUUUUGUCCUAUUUUUCUUUCAAUAUUUGAGGGUAUAAUAGUAGUAUUUAAUUGUGCUAUUAAAUUACGUUAGAAGGAAUAUUCUGACUAAGGAAAGACUUGGUAUUUAAGAGAUCCUUGUGAUCCACCUCUCUUCCCUGGGAAUUGAACUUUGUGUGAUUUUUUAGUACAAUAAUUUACACGCUUCCGACCCUAUUGGAACAACAAGUGGUAUCAGAGCCGAAGGUUAAUCGUAGUAUGCUCUGUGGUUGCAGUUUAAACUGAUCUUCCACAUCAGAAAAGAUUUCCUUAGGUAUAUUGAAAGAUUAUGGAGAAAACGGUCGGUGUAGGAGCUUCAACAUCGUCCAUGUGGACAAGACCGACAAUUGCAAAUGCAAGAUUGGCCGUGGAGAUCUUUGAUGGCACGAGCCAUUUUGGUAUGUGGCAAAGUGAGGUUCUAGAUGCCCUUUUUUAGCAGGGUCUAGACAUUGCCAUUGAUGAAGAGAAACCAGAUGAUGUACAGGAGAAAGAUUGGAAGGCGAUCAAUCGGUUGGCAUGUGGCACAAUUCGACAUGCCUUUUCGAGAGCAGAGGUAUGCUUUUUCAAAGGAGACUUCUGCAAAUAAGUUGUGGGUGGCACUUGAAGAAAAAAUUUUGAAGAAAAACAGUCAAAAUAAGCUCCACUUGAAGAAAAGACUGUUUCGCUUCACAUACGUCCCAAGUACCACAAUGAAUGAUCACAUCACCAAAUUUAAUCAGUUAGUCACUGAUUUGCUGAAUAUGGAUGAGACAUUCAAAGAUGAAGAUUUGGCUUUGAUGCUGUUGGGGUCACUUCCUGAGGAGUUUGAGUUCCUAGAAACUACUCUACUUCAUGGCAGGAGUGAUAUAUCUCUGAGCGAAGUCUGUGCGGCAUUAUACAGUUAUGAACAGAGAAAGAAGGACAAACAGAAAAACUCAAUCAGAGAUACAGAAGCUUUAGUAGUCCGAGGUCGUUCAUACACUCAGAAGAAAACUCAAAAGGGGAGAUCAAAGUCAAAGUCCAGACUCGGGAAAGAUGAAUGUACUUUUUGUCAUGAGAAAGGCCACUGGAAGAAAAAUUGUCCAAAGCUGAAGAAUAAGGGAAAAGCUGCUGUAGAUACUUGUGUUGCAAAGCAUGAUACUAGUGACUCUGAACUAUCACUGGUUGCAUCAUCAUCGUCGUUCCAUUCAGAUGAGUGGAUAUUGGAUUCGGGUUGUACCUUUCAUAUUCCCCUAACCGGGAGUGGUUCUCUGAUUUAGUAGAACUAAAUGGAGGAGUUGUUUAUAUGGGCAAUGACAAUGCCUGUAAAACUGUUGGGAUAGGUUCAAUCCAAUUAAAGAAUCAAGAUGGAUCAACCAGAGUUCUGACUAAUGUUCGGUACGUGCCCAGUUUGAAGAAAAAUCUCAUCUCAUUGGGAGCCUUGGAAUCCAAUGGUUCAGUUGUUACUAUGAGAGAUGGGGUUUUAAAAGUGACAUCUGGCGCACUUGUGAUAUUGAAGGGCAUCAGGAAAAAUAACUUGUAUUACUACCAAGGUAGUACAGUUAUUGGAGCAGUCGCUGCAACUUCCGGCAACAAAGAAUUGGACUCAAUACAGUUGUGGCAUAUGAAGUUGGGACAUGCCAGCGAAAAAUCCUUGCAAAUUCUGGCAAAGCAAGGAUUGUUGAAAGGUGCAAUGGCUUACAAAUUAAAAUUUUGCGAGCAUUGUGUUCUGGGAAAGCAAAAGAGAGUGAAAUUCGGUACUGCUAUCCAUAAUACAAAAGGUAUUUUAGAAUAUGUUCACUCAGAUGUGUGGGGGCCUUCCAAGACACCUUCAUUGGGAGGAAAACACUACUUUGUUACUUUUGUUGAUGACUUUUCCAGAAGAGUUUGGGUGUAUACCAUGAGAACUAAGGAUGAAGUGCUUAGAGUUUUUCUUAAAUGGAAAACUAUGAUCGAAAACCAGACUGGCAAGAAAAUCAAGCGGCUUAGGACGGACAAUGGAGGGGAAUAUAAAAGUGAUCCGUUCUUCGAUGUGUGCCAAGAGUAUGGUAUUGUUCGACACUUCACAGUUAGGGAUACACCACAGCAGAAUGGAUUGGCAGAGCGUAUGAAUCGAACAUUGCUGGAGAAAGUUCGAUGUAUGUUGUCCAAUGCUGGGUUGGGCAAGCAAUUUUGGGCUGAGGCUGUGACAUACGCUGGCCAUCUUGUUAAUCGUUUGCCAUCAUCUGCAUUAGAAAGAAAAACUCCUAUGGAGGUAUGGUCUGGAAAACCGGCUACAGAUUAUGAUUCCUUACAUGUGUUUGGAUCCACUGCAUAUUACCAUGUGAAAGAGUCAAAGUUAGAUCCGAGGGCAAAGAAAGCUCUCUUUAUGGAAAUCACUUCUGGAGUGAAGGGAUUUCGUCUUUGGUGCUUAAGCACAAAGAAAAUGAUCUGUAGCAGAGAUGUUACCUUUGAUGAACCUGCCACAUUGAAAAAGGUAGCAGAUAAAGAUAUUCAGACGAGCAAUACUCCACAACAGGUGGAGUGUACUCCAAAACAGGUGGAGUUUGAGCAGAUGGGGAUUUACCCAGUUAAUAAGUCUAAUUCUCCAGCCAUAAUGGAGGAAUUAGAGGUUGAAGAGGUUCUGACCCAAGAACCACUAAGUACACCAGAACCAGUUGCAGUUGCAAGGCCACGGAGAGAAAUUCGUAAACCUGCUCGAUUUACUGAUAUGGUGGCCUACGCCCUUCCCGUUGUUGAUGAUAUUCCUAUCACUUAUCAAGAAGUAAUGCAAAGCUUAGAAAGUGAUAAAUGGAAAAGCGCCAUAGAUGAAGAAAUGCAGUCUCUCCUGAAGAACAAUACUUGGGAAUUGGCGCAAUUACCGAAAGGUAAAAGGGCAAUCGGAUGCAAGUGGGUAUUCGCAAAGAAAGAUGGAUCUCCUAGCAAGAAGGAUAUUCGCUACAAGGCAAGAUUGGUAGCUAAAGGCUACGCUCAGAAGGAGGGAAUUGACUACAAUGAUGUAUUUUCCCCUGUUGUGAAGCAUUCCUCCAUUAGAAUUUUGUUGGCCUUGGUAGCACAGUUGAAUUUGGAGCUAGCUCAACUUGAUGUUAAGACGGCUUUCUUGCAUGGUGAGUUAGAAGAGGAGAUCUAUAUGACUCAGCCCGAAGGAUACACAGAUGAUGGUGGUAGAAAUUGGGUUUGUAAGCUGAACAAAUCGCUAUAUGGAUUGAAGCAAUCCCCGAGGCAGUGGUACAAGCGAUUUGAUAGUUUUAUGAGAAGGCAGAAGUACACAAGAAGCAAAUAUGACAAUUGUGUAUAUUUGCAGAAGCUGCAUGACGGAUCUUUCAUUUAUCUACUCUUGUAUGUUGAUGAUAUGUUAAUCGCUUCGAAGAGCCAAAAUGAGAUAGAUAAGCUGAAGGCUCAGUUGAAUCAAGAGUUCGAGAUGAAAGAUCUAGGUAAGGCCAAGAAGAUUCUCGGCAUGGAGAUAAGUAGAGAUAGACAGAGAGGCAAGCUUUGUUUGAAUCAGAAGCAAUAUCUGAAAAAGGUAUUACAAUGUUUUGGUGUAAAUGAAAACACAAAACAUGUAAGUACCCCACUUGCUUCUCAUUUGAAACUUAAUGCUCAAUUAUCUCCGAAAACUGAAGAAGAAAGAGAAUAUAUGGAAAAAGUCCCAUAUGCUAAUGCAGUUGGGAGUUUGAUGUAUGCGAUGGUGUGUACGAGGCCUGACAUUUCACAAGCUGUUGGAGUUGUGAGCAGGUAUAUGCAUGAUCCUGGAAAAGAACAUUGGCAAGCUGUGAAAUGGAUUCUACGGUAUCUUCGAAAAACCGUAGAUGUUGGUUUAAUUUUUGAGCAGGAUGAAGCACUUGGUCAGUUUGUAGUUGGAUAUGUUGAUUCCGACUUUGCUGGUGAUUUAGAUAAACGUCGUUCAACUACGGGGUAUCUGUUUACUCUUGCGAAAGCCCCAGUGAGUUGGAAGUCUACCUUACAGUCUACAGUAGCUGUGUCUACUACAGAGGCAGAAUAUAUGGCAGUUACAGAAGCUGUUAAGGAGGCUAUUUGGCUUAAUGGAUUGUUGAAAGACUUAGGAGUUGUUCAAAGUCACAUAAGUUUAUAUUGUGACAGUCAGAGCGCUAUUCAUUUAGCGAAAAAUCAAGUCUAUCAUUCAAGAACCAAGCAUAUCGACGUAAGAUAUCACUUUGUGCGGGAAGUCUUUGAAAAAGGAAAAAUUCUACUUCAGAAGAUUCCGACAGCAGAUAAUCCCGCAGAUAUGAUGACCAAGGUGGUAACAACAAUCAAGUUUAAUCAUUGUUUGAACUUGAUUAACAUCCUGAGAAUUUGAGCACCUUUAGGUGUAUGACGCUCGAGAGCGCAUUUGGAGGCACUACAAAAGAUAGCUUUAUCGAAUUUGGGGAGUUGAAGGAAGUAUGUGAAGAUGUGAUUAUCCUAAUCAAAUCUUCAAGGUGGAGAUUGUUGAAAAGACAAAUUAAAAGGGGUGUUGAAAAGUCAAAAAAAUGGGAGGUGCAAGUGGCACCGAAAGAAAAAAAUGGUAGGCAAGUUGUUUAAAGUUGAAUGGGAUAAUUGCAAUUUUGGUCCCUAAUUUUUUAGGCCAUUUGCAAGUUAGUCCCUGAACCUCAACUAUAAAUAGGCCUAACCAUUUCUCAUUUACACUAUCCCAACCAAUCUUUCUCUCUUAGUUUUCUCUCUUCUCCCAUUUGAGAAUUCUUAAGGAAUUCUAUUUGUUUGUAAUAUUUUGGAUAUAGUAAAGUUAUCAUCUGGUGUUAGUGCCCGAGGACGUAGGUAUAAUUUACCGAACCUCAUUAAAACUCUUAUGUUCUUUUUGUCCUAUUUUUCUUUCAAUAUUUGAGGGUAUAAUAGUAGUAUUUAAUUGUGCUAUUAAAUUACGUUAGAAGGAAUAUUCUGACUAAGGAAAGACUUGGUAUUUAAGAGAUCCUUGUGAUCCACCUCUCUUCCCUGGGAAUUGAACUUUGUGUGAUUUUUUAGUACAAUAAUUUACACGCUUCCGACCCUAUUGGAACAACAUGUGUAACUAUAUGUAAAUAAAAAAAGAGUUUGAUAAGCAAUUAACCUCUACUUUUUUUAAGAACAUUGGAAGCAAUGCGACGGCAAAGAAUUUCAUGGCAUUUGGAGGAGGCAAUAGAACAUGUGCGGGAGCAGAGUUCAGCAAGGUCCUGAUGGCUAUAUUUUUACACGUUUUGGUAACCAAGUACAGGUAUAUUGAUUAAUAUGUUAUGCAAGAAACUAUAUGUACAUAUAUAGAUGAUAAAAUUGAGAAUAAAAGAGUAUGUAAAUUUGGGUUAGGUGGAAAAAGAUGAAGGGGGGAGAUGUGGUUCGUGCACCCACUCUGGGAUUUGCCGACGGUUUCACCAUUAGUGUUUUGGAAAAGCAAGCGUAACUUGUUACGCUCAAAUGUUGAAGAAUAAGGUUGACGCGCUGGAUUUGUCUUCAAACCCAACUUCUGUGUUCCUACUUUCUGUCUCAUAUACGGUACUCAACUCCAUGAUUAUUGUAUACUUAUCAACACUUGCCGUUGAUUUUCACCAUGUAAUAAUCCUUCGCUAUAAAUAAUAAAUGUGACGUCAAAGAAUCUCCUCUAAGAUGCGAAAAAAACAAGAGACAAGCAAACCAAAAUCUCUCCCUUCACAAAAUUGUCUAUUUCAAGAUUUACGGAUGAGUGCCGAAUCCACUAAAAUGUCUAAAAUAAAAUUUAAAUUCAUAGUAAAGAACUAUGGAUGCGUCGUGAAUAAUUUUGUGCUCAAGACUUGUGUAAACCUGCAUAAAUAAAUAAAUAAAAAAGUUUAAAAUAUAACGAAACUAUACAAAUAAAACCGAAAUAAAUGUAAAACAUAAUAUAAAAAUUCAAAAUACAAGUAGAUUGAACCAAAAGGAUAAAAACUCCAGCCUCAAACGUAACUUCACUUUUUGAGUUGUGAACUGAUCACGGGUAAUGGAGACAUUAACUCAAAAGAAGUGGCUCGAUUGGAAAAGUUGGUUGCAUAUUGGAAGGAGCAAGCCGAUAGGAUUACGAAGACAUUCAAGAUGAGCAGAGAAGUAAAGUCCAUGCUUUGUGAAUUGAGAUUGAAGUAGAAUCUUCUUGAAAACAAGGAGCUUGACAUUGA
rnacentral:lncRNA from 1 species